rnacentral:rRNA from 1 species
UGAGGAAUAUUGGUCAAUGGACGAGAGUCUGAACCAGCCAAGUAGCGUGCAGGAUGACGGCCUUAUGGGUUGUAAACUGCUUUUGUUUGGGAAUAAUCGACAUUACGUGUAAUGUUUUGCAUGUACCAUUCGAAUAAGGACCGGCUAAUUCCGUGCCAGCAGCCGCGGUAAUACGGAAGGUCCAGGCGUUAUCCGGAUUUAUUGGGUUUAAAGGGAGUGUAGGCGGUUGGUUAAGCGUGUUGUGAAAUGUAGAUGCUCAACAUCUGACUUGCAGCGCGAACUGGCUGACUUGAGUACACACAACGUAGGCGGAAUUCAUGGUGUAGCGGUGAAAUGCUUAGAUAUCAUGAAGAACUCCGAUUGCGAAGGCAGCUUACGGGAGUGUUACUGACGCUUAAGCUCGAAGGUGCGGGUAUCGAACAGG